rnacentral:lncRNA from 1 species
AUUUCGAAUUUCAAAUUUCAGAAUUUAAUAACUACGAAAUUACUAACUAAAAAUAAUCAAAAUAAGGAAAAUUAAUAAAAAUAAAAAAACUUACUACCGAAGUGUGUUCACUCCGGGUAUCCAAAAUCCGAUUUGAUCUUCGUGAUCGUUUUUGCUUCUCGAUUUGCCUCCCCGGCAACGGCGCCAAAAUUUUGUUCGUCCUUUUCUGUC